AGAGUUUGAUCCUGGCUCAGAGUGAACGCUGGUGGCGUGCUUAACACAUGCAAGUCGAACGGUAACAGAGAGUACUUGUACUCUGCUGACGAGUGGCGCACGGGUGAGUAAUAUAUAGUUAAUCUGCCUCAAAGACUGGGAUAGCCAUUGGAAACGAUGAUUAAUACUAGAUAGUCCAUUUAUACAUAAGUAUAAUUGGUAAAUGUUUUUUCGCUUUGAGAUGAGACUAUAUCGCAUCAGUUAGUUGGUGGGGUAAGAGCCUACCAAGACAAUGACGCGUAGCGGGUUUGAGAGGAUGAUCCGCCACACUGGUAUUGAGACACGGACCAGACUCCUACGGGAGGCAGCAGUGAGGAAUAUUGCACAAUGGGGGAAACCCUGAUGCAGCAACGCCGCGUGGAGGAUGACGCAUUUCGGUGUGUAAACUCCUUUUAUAUGUCAAGAAAAUGACGGUAGCAUAUGAAUAAGCACCGGCUAACUCCGUGCCAGCAGCCGCGGUAAUACGGAGGGUGCAAGCGUUACUCGGAAUCACUGGGCGUAAAGGACGCGUAGGCGGGCUAAAAAGUCAGGUGUGAAAGCCUACAGCUUAACUGUAGAACUGCACUUGAAACUCUUAGCCUAGAGUAUGGGAGGGGGAGAUGGAAUUAGUGGUGUAGGGGUAAAAUCCGUA
rnacentral:rRNA from 1 species